UACGUAGGGGGCAAGCGUUGUCCGGAAUCAUUGGGCGUAAAGAGCGUGUAGGCGGCCCGAUAAGUCCGCCGUGAAAGUCCAGGGCUCAACCCUGGAAUGCCGGUGGAAACUGUCGGGCUGGAGUCCGGAAGAGGCGAGUGGAAUUCCUGGUGUAGCGGUGAAAUGCGCAGAUAUCAGGAGGAACACCAAUGGCGAAGGCAGCUCGCUGGGACGGUACUGACGCUGAGGCGCGAAAGCGUGGGGAGCGAACAGG
rnacentral:rRNA from 1 species